GGAAUCUUGCACAAUGGGCGAAAGCCUGAUGCAGCGACGCCGCGUGCGGGACGAAGGCCUUCGGGUUGUAAACCGCUUUCAGCAGGGACGAGGCCGCGAGGUGACGGUACCUGCAGAAGAAGCCCCGGCUAACUACGUGCCAGCAGCCGCGGUAAUACGUAGGGGGCGAGCGUUAUCCGGAUUUAUUGGGCGUAAAGCGAGCGCAGGCGGUUUUUUAAGUCUGAUGUGAAAGCCUUCGGCUUAACCGAAGAAGUGCAUCGGAAACUGGGGAACUUGAGUGCAGAAGAGGACAGUGGAACUCCAUGUGUAGCGGUGAAAUGCGUAGAUAUAUGGAAGAACACCAGUGGCGAAGGCGGCUGUCUGGUCUGUAACUGACGCUGAGGCUCGAAAGCAUGGGUAGCGAACA
rnacentral:rRNA from 1 species